UGGGGAAUCUUGGACAAUGGGCGCAAGCCUGAUCCAGCCAUGCCGCGUGAGUGAUGAAGGCCUUCGGGUUGUAAAACUCUUUUGGCGGGGACGAUAAUGACGGUACCCGCAGAAUAAGCUCCGGCUAACUUCGUGCCAGCAGCCGCGGUAAUACGAAGGGGGCUAGCGUUGUUCGGAAUUACUGGGCGUAAAGCGUGCGCAGGCGGCUUCUCAAGUCAGGGGUGAAAGCCCAGAGCUCAACUCUGGAACUGCCUUUGAGACUGAGAGGCUUGAGUACGGGAGAGGUGAGUGGAAUUCCCAGUGUAGAGGUGAAAUUCGUAGAUAUUGGGAAGAACACCGGUGGCGAAGGCGGCUCACUGGCCCGUAACUGACGCUCAUGCACGACAGCGUGGGGAUCAAACAG
rnacentral:rRNA from 1 species